rnacentral:rRNA from 1 species
GAUGAACGCUAGCGGCAGGCUUAACACAUGCAAGUCGAGGGGCAUCGCGGCGGUUGCGACACCGCUUGCGGCGACCGGCGCACUGGUGAGUCACACGUAUGCGACCUGCCCCCUACAGGGGAAUAACCCGCGGAAACGCGGCCUAAUGCCCCAUAGUCCCGUCAGGCCCAUGCCUUACGGGGGAAAGGUCCGCCGGUAGGGGACGGGCAUGUGGCGCAUUAGCUGGUUGGGGGGGCAACGGCCCACCAAGGCUACGAUGCGUAGGGGCUCUGAGAGGAGUGGCCCCCACACGGGAACUGAGACACGGGCCAGACUCGUACGGGAGGCAGCAGUGAGGAAUGUUGGUAGAUGGGAGUUAGCCAGAACGAGCCAAGGCGCGUGAGGGAAGUAGGGCGUCAGGAUCGUGAACCUCUUUAGCGGAGGAGCAACGCGGCCCACGCGUGGGGCGGUGAGCGUACCCGGAGAAUAAGCAUCGGCUAACUCAGUG